rnacentral:lncRNA from 1 species
GACACAUUACAAAACUCCUGCCGGCAGGUCAAACACUUUCCGCAUUUGCACAAUAUGUCGCUAAAGUGUUGCUCCAGCGCAGGGACGUUUCGCAUUAUCCCAGCCUCUUGGGGCCGCUGGCAAGGCAUGCGAAUGGACGAAACUUAUCCUCGUGCACUCUUCUGUCAGCAGUGUAGAAUUGCCCCUUCGAGUUCCUCGAAGGGAAUUCGCCUCCCAUCCCCGCUGUCACACAGGGCCAUCCCUUCUUCCCACAGCCGCGAUGCGAGCGUUACCGUAUCUCGUCGGCACCUCCUUGGUUUGCUGGAUACCAUGCACAAUAUCCUUGCUGUUUCUGCUUCCGUGCCUGCCGUCAGGCCCUAAGCUCGUGGGCCUAAAAGCAGGAAAGACAACCCCCAGGAGGUGUGAUUAUCAGGUUGAAAGGAGCUUCGGCUAUUUAGCCGCGUAUAGCUGGGUGGAUGCAUGACGGACGCUGUACGAUAACAGGUACGUGAACAGAUGCGUACCAGUGUGCUUUAGUGCUUAACGAGCUGCCGUCCUGGGGUUUUCGAGUGCGUCAAACGUGUAUUCCCGACCUUUGGUCCCUGGAGCUCCAUUGGUAAGGCACUCUGGGCAGCAGCAGCCUGUAUACCCGACGUAUGGGUGUGGCUUGAAGCAUCGUUUCCUGCGGCCAUCCUCGCUCCGUGCGAAAGGCGGGUGUCGAUUCAUGAGGCCCCUUCGUACAGCCAAGAGACUCAGCGCUUCGUACAGCCAAGAGACCUGCUAACAGAGCUGUCAGUAGUUGUCACGAUUUGACGAUUGCGCAUCCUCCCCGUUGCUGGAUUAUACAGGAAAAUGCUUCUGAUCGGCAUCCACUUCAUCGCGAGCGUAUGCACUUGCUGUGGGUUCAUCCUCCCUGGUUCUUAGGCCCUUGGGCCUUAUUGCUGGGCUUGGCCGUGUUGUCCCCCUUAGAUAAUCUUUCACUUCGCUAUAAUCCUCUGCGAGGUGUGAACUGCAAGCAGGCAAAGUAUGAACAAGAUCAUGCUGAGUUAUAUGUGCGUCUCUGCAUGUGCCUCCGACACUUCCCCAAAGCACGAACGACAGUUGGGUCCAGACCUUUCCUGGUAUGUGGACUUUAUUCAAAUUAAUGAACCAGAAACGCAAGUGUGAUAACAUCGUGCCACAGUUGCAUUGU